CUAGGAUUAGAUACCCUGUUAUUUUAGAGCCUUAUAUUGUAAGUAUAUAAAAAAUAUGAAAACAAAAAAUUAUGGCGGUGCUUUGAACUUUUCAGAGGAAUUUGCUCUUUAAUGGAUAAAACACCACAACCUUACUAAAAUUAGCAAUUUCAGUUUGUAUACCACUAUAAAAAUAAUAAUUAAUUAUUAUUAUUAGAAUUUUAUUUAAAAAAUAAAUUAAGUCAUGGUGCAGCAAAAAUUUUAGAAUGAAGUGAAUUACAUUAUUUUUCAAUUUACGUAAAUUGAAAAAUAAAAUAGGAUUUGAAAAUAAAAAUAGAAUAUAAUGAUAUUUUGAAAUAAGUUCUAAAGCAUGUACACAUCGCCCGUCGCUCU
rnacentral:rRNA from 1 species